GAUCCUGGCUCAGGAUGAACGCUGGCGGCGUGCCUAAUACAUGCAAGUCGAGCGAACAGACGAGGAGCUUGCUUCUCUGACGUUAGCGGCGGACGGGUGAGUAACACGUGGAUAACCUACCUAUAAGACUGGGAUAACUUCGGGAAACCGGAGCUAAAUACCGGAUAAUAUAUUGAACCGCAUGGUUCAAUAGUGAAAGACGGUUUUGCUGUCACUUAUAGAUGGAUCCGCGCCGCAUUAG
rnacentral:rRNA from 1 species